UGGGCGGUGGCGGGAAAAGGUCAUUUUGCGGCGGGCGGCGCGGCGAGCGGAUCGUUGCGGACGCAGCAGCGACGCGAUGGAAAAGUGCAAUUUCUCCACCUGUAAUCGUUUAAUUUCUACUUUUAAACGCUUCUAAAUGUUUAUUUUGUACUUUUUUACCUCAUAAAUGUUAUAAUUUAUGCGGUGGGGUUGUAAUUUAUUACGAUUUUAUUACAAUGGGGUCUCAAUCAACACCCACCCCCCCCAUUUAACCCUUUAAACGGUCAAAUUAUCAACCUUUUAAUUCAUUAUCGGUUUGUUUUAUGGAAAAGACGUUUGAUUAUUAACGUUAAUAAUGUUUAAUUAAAUAUGAAAUGAUUAAUUGUUUA